rnacentral:rRNA from 1 species
GACGUAGGGCGCGAGCGUUGUCCGGAUUUAUUGGGCGUAAAGAGCUCGUAGGCGGCUUGUUGCGUCGACCGUGAAAACCCGCGGCUCAACUGUGGGCUUGCAGCUGAUACGGGCAGGCUUGAGUUCGGUAGGGGAGACUGGAAUUCCUGGUGUAGCGGUGAAAUGCGCAGAUAUCAGGAGGAACACCGGUGGCGAAGGCGGGUCUCUGGGCCGAUACUGACGCUGAGGAGCGAAAGCGUGGGGAGCGAACAGG